rnacentral:rRNA from 1 species
UAAUACGAAGGGGGCUAGCGUUGCUCGGAAUUACUGGGCGUAAAGGGCGCGUAGGCGGACAGUUUAGUCAGAGGUGAAAGCCCAGGGCUCAACCUUGGAAUUGCCUUUGAUACUGGCUGUCUUGAGUUCGGGAGAGGUGAGUGGAAUGCCGAGUGUAGAGGUGAAAUUCGUAGAUAUUCGGCGGAACACCAGUGGCGAAGGCGACUCACUGGCCCGAUACUGACGCUGAGGCGCGAAAGCGUGGGGAGCAAACAGGAUUAGAUACCCUGGUAGUCCACGCCGUAAACUAUGGGUGCUAGCCGUCGGGGAGCUUGCUCUUCGGUGGCGCAGCAAACGCAUUAAGCACCCCGCCUGGGGAGUACGGUCGCAAGAUUA